AUGGACAUUCCUGGCAACCCUCCUGGGGAAUCAGCUAGAGGCUGCGUGGAUGCAGACUUGACUUCAGGUACACUUCUUUAUUGGUUAACCUACCUUCCUUCUGGGAGGAAGGAACACUUUUGCAAUGUCCCCAGAGGGACAUUUGCCACCUGGAAUCCAACCGAAUGGAGUCUGCCAGGAGCUUGUGCAGCAUCUGCAAUGCCAGUUCCAGUUUACAGAGGACUCAGGCUGGCAGUGAGGACUCAGCUGAGAUCAUCAAACCUUUGGAACUGGCUUGAGCUCAAAAUGCUAGGUGCCCUGAGCCAAGAAGCAACAGAACUCACUUGUGGCUCCCUUGUCCUGAAGCCACAGGGCCACAUGCUGAAGGCCUGCCCCUGCAGCUCUCUCCAACCUCAUCAGACCAGCAAAACCACCUUGUUCCUAAGUCCUUUCUAGAAGCUGGCAUGCCUGGGGUGAAAACAUCCAGUGUCCCAAUGAAAUAUAUGCCAUUUAUAUAAGGUACACUGCUUUGUUGUUGUUAACACAGUGAGGGGAUGGGAGGCAGGCAUUUCAAACUCAUGACUUCAAGGCAACCCAAACAGAUGUUAAAGCCUGACCAUCCUUUUUGUGAAGAUCAUAAAUACAGCUCAAUUUAUUGUAAUGCUCAGAGGUGUCAGGCACUGUUCUAAGCACUUCAUUAACCCUCUCAACAACCAUGAAAUGUAGAUAUUGUUAUUACGUCCAUGCCACAGAUGAGGAAACUGAGGCACAGAGAGGUUAAGUAACCCACAGGUUUACAAAACUAUCAAGCGCCAGAACAAACUACAAACUAUCAACCCAGCACCAGAGCCUAUGCCCUUAACCACACUAUAAUAUAUAUAUGGAGGUCAUGCCUAGUUUUAAAAAGAAGCACUGCGGUUUUUUCUCUGCAGCUACCACCUCUGGCACCGUGGGCAGGAGGCAAGACCUGGUCUGUAGAGUGUGUGGGCCUUGAACUCCCAGCAUGCAGCUCUUCAGCCUCCAAGCGUGCUGGCCACCUCUGAGCACUCAUUAAAGUCAGAUGUAAUUUCUCUGUUGUCCAGUUCGGUUGGGAAGGGGGCUACUCAGUGUAAUCUAAUAUCUUAGUUUAUACAUUCUGCAGGGUUUAGGGUCUACAGGAGUGUGAAAAUAGCAGAUUAUCAGACUGACAAGACCCAAUUUUGGCCUUGUGAUUUUGUGUCCUGUGAGCUUGGGUGCUACAGAUGUGGAAGGUGGAAGAGAGUGAACUGAACAUUUAGGGACCCUCUGACACCCCUGGAAAAUGUUUUUGCAAUCCCUGCUCUCUAUUUGUUUAUGCAUCAUUUUGCACAGAAGUAGCUGAGCGCGUGUAAUCACAUAGCCCAGCCCAACUGGCCUGUUAACAAAGCUAUCUAAUCACUGGCAUGCCAAGCGAACCACUAGCCUUGACUACUUUACUCUGACAUUUAGUUAAACAGAGAUGAUGCCCUUAUGCCUUCCAAAAUGGCUGCAUCAUAAAAUAUUAAAGUAACGGAAGUGUCCGCGAGUGAGAGCUCUCAAGGAAGGAGGAAUAUUCCUUACAAGUACAAACAACAGCCAAGUGUAUCUGACAAUGAAUGCAUCAUUUACAGGCCAGCUUGUGGCAUCAUUAAAAACGGAUCUUACUGUUUGUUGGGGGCUUGGGGAAAUUAACGAUUAAAAAAAAUGAAAUUGGCUCAAAAAGACAUGGUGGCCUUAGUAGUCUGGGAAAAAGGAAUAUGAUCAUUCGGGAAAUAUUAAUGAGCUUCCACAGUAUGAGAGGCACUGGACUAGGCAUGGGGACACAGAGGGAAGAAGGUCCCACCUUUGUGAAGCUCAAGUUUAGAGGGUGAAUGGGAUGGGCAGGUCUGCAGGGAGUUACACACAGUGUGCAAAUGGUGCAAGAGAAAUAAGCACAGGGCAACGUGGGAGAGAGAUACCAGGGGUGUCCCUCCCAGUUUUGAGAAGUCAGAACAGGCUUUUCUAAUGUAUUAAUUUCUAAUUCAACAUUUGAAGGACAAAAUGGAGAGAAAAGGAUGAAAGGGGAACCCCCAAGUAUUUGCAAAGGUCCGGAGGGUAAGUAAAAACCAUAGAGGGACAGAGCAAAGAGGGGACAGAAGAGACCAUAUGUCCCAGUUUAUGGUGCCUCCUCAAAGAUGUGAGUCUUGGCAACUUCCAGCCAAGAUAAAGAGAAAGGACACAAGGUACAUUACAACGUCACCAGUACUGUUUACCCUUCCCAUGCCCCUGAAAACAUAGCACAUUCAGGGAGCUACAAGGUCCCCAGUACUGUUUACCCUUCCCAUGCCACUGGAAACAUGGCACAUUCAGGGAGCUACAGGGUUUCAGAAUGAUUAGAGCAGAAGGGGCAAGACCAAGAAGUGGCAAGAGAUGAGCCUCUGAGAUUUCCCCAGAGAUGAGAGUCUGGAGGGCCUCAUGACUUAUAUCAAAGAUUUGGGGUAUGGGAGCCGCUGAAGGAUUCUAAGCAGAUCAGAUUAGAAAGAUCCUCCUGGCUGCUCUAUGGAGGCUGAAUGGGAGAAGGAAGUCAAGACCAGAGGUGGGCAAACCCAUUAGGAGACUAUUGCAGUGAGGGACACUACAGUGGCCUGAUUCUGGUAGAAAGUAUUCAAGAAAACACUCAUUUCUCCUUUUCAUCACUUCCUCUUGAGUGACUCUGUCUUUUGGAGCUCUCUGAAGUCAAUAUAUUUGCUUUGGCUAUUAAUAUUCAGCAGGAAUAGAGGGAUGGUGCCCAGUUCUUACCCCUGGGAGCUCACAUCUCUUCCCCAGAAUGUCGUGACUCUGUUCUUCAGCACAGGAAGGAAAUACCAUUUCCCCAGCUCUUUCUUCAAAAAAGUCACUCUCGAUUUGCUUCUGGGCGAUGUUUGUCUCUGGACAGAGCUUGGAUUCCAUGAGCCUGUGCGUGUGUGCGCUGCAGUCCAGCUCAGGGGUGGCUCUGCUUUUCUUGACUUCCUGGAUGCCGGAGAACUUAAAACAGUGUUGUUUCCUCCUGAUGCUUAUCUCCACAACCCUUUCUCAGAAUGUCUUGCCCAUUAACUUUCUAACAGCACCAUUUUUGGUGCCAAGCUUCUUGUUUGAAGGCUUGGAGCUUUACUGGAGCAAAAAACAAUUGCAUUUCUGCCUGUCACCCGCCUCUCAUUCCCCUAAACCAUGCCUACCUUUCCUCUGAGCCAACACACAAAGCUAUGCACUUCUUGAGAAACACCUGCCCUGGGUCCCUGGAAGGUGGCUCAUGGAUCAUCACUGCAAUGCAUUUUAAAAGAAGAGCCAAAAAUGCAGGGAACACUAUCCCUGGCAAUGGAUUCCUCAAAGAAGUCACAGGCACUGGGUAAGAACGACCAGAAGCCCUGAUACAACUCCUCACACCUCAGAAUCCUUCGUGGCUCCCCAUUGCCUUCAGGAUAAAGCACAAGCCUACUGGGUAUCUGUGGGGUCUUUUCUGGACAGCAGGGUUCAGUUCUGUUUCUGCCUUUUGAAGCCCCAGUGUGUUUUUAUUGGGUAACGGGUGUGUGAUUGGACCUGCCAUGGCUGCCUGACCCAGGGGAACAGCUCCCCCUGCUGGUGGGAAGGUCUGCUGCACCUUGGCCCCUAUUGCCCGUGUACCUCACUUCGUGCAUUGUGUUCCUGGUGAUUUGCACGUUAAACUGAAUCAUCUGCUGAGUGUUCUUGGGGUGUUCACUUCUAAAAGGAAAUCCGUGGCAAAUUCUUUUUGUGAGGCGAGAAAUUCUUUUUGGAGCAAAACCUGAUAGCAUCUCUGCCCUUGGAAUAAUCACUGCCCUUCCCCAUCCCCUCGCUUGUUGAUGUUCAGAAUGUUGGAGUUUAUUGAAGGGGGUCUGUUGAUUCUGGGGUUCAGGAUGAGGACCCUGGGCAUGGGUCCUGGGGAAAGGCCACAGUAGCUGAAGCUGAGCCGCAGAUACUUGUACAUCUGACAUUUCCAUGCUUUGCGGAGGCUCCUUAUAACCUGAAGCUUGUCUUUUAAGGGGUUGAUACGUCUCAAAGUCUGGCGAGGGGGUGGUGUUCACAGCUUCAAAGGCCCCCCACUGGCAGAUUCAGGUGGACCCACGCACACAUUUGGAAAUGGGUCAACUCUUGUGGGCCUUGGCUAAAUUAUCAGGAGGAAGCAGAAAGGAGAAGGCAAAGAGAAACAUGCCCUCCAUUAGAAGGGUAUCAACGUUUUACCCAAAGGGGAUCUGCCUAUCACAGUUACAGUUGUUUUUCCUCCUUCCAGAUGUUGUGUGUUACAAAGUCCUUUAUUAGUAAGCACACACAUGGCAGCCUCAGCCAAGUCCAGUGCCAGUGCCAGCCUUACGCCUCCAACCAUGGUGGCUGCAGUUAAUUAAGCAUGAGGUACAGUGUGCUAUGCACUGAGGUAUGAAUCCCGUGCUUCUGGGAGCACCAUUCUGUAAAAAUGAGACUCCCAUUACAGCCUGGACACUUGGCUCAAGAUAAUGGGAUUAAGCUUCAAGGCUUGAUCUCUUUUGAGAUUAGAAUCCUUGCUAUGGGAACCCAUGUUCAAGGCCAACAUCCUCGUUUUACCUGGAGACCCAGGCAGGUGAACCCUGGGUCAUUUCCAAACUAGGCUCCUUAGGAGUCAAAGUCUGGAGACCCAAUUUGCAUCUCUAUAGUUGAUUGGAGUGCUGGAUCCCUGCUAAUCCAGUCAUCUAAUAAGGCCAGAACCCACUGGACUUGAAAAUUAUGUUCACGGCAUCUUAAGCUCAGGGCAUGAAGGAAAACCCAGAAUAAAAAGUACAAAGACUCUUUCCUUCUUCAAUUGAGAAGGCAGACAGGCUAUGUGCACUUGAAAAUGGUUAUAAACACCAGACCCACCAAUUAUAAUUUAGGAGGUCUUAUAUGUAAUCUGCCCAGUUCCAGAUACUUUAAUUCUAUGUUGCAGGGAAGUAAGUGCCAGCUGGCCACAGACCGACCAGGCUCAGGGUUCAGUUCUAAACAUCACUGUUUGGGAAAAGCUCAAUCUAAAACAGACAGCUCUGGAUGUGUUUAGGUUUUGCUUUCUUUCCACUUUUAAAUAUUAAAAAUUGACUCCAGCUGUGGGGUAGAAAGUAACGCCUAACCUAUAAAAACAUUGACAAAUAAAUCACAAUGCAAUUUGCCGCGCAUUUUUGUGAGGUCUAAACACCAGUUCUUGAAAGGAAUUUUCCAUUAUUGCAUCUUGGGAAGAUAACUUCUUCAUGAAAAAUUCAUUUGACUUUUGUAUUUCAUAAAAUCAUCACAUAGCAUUCCCACAUUUGGGAUCUGCAUGUACUGGAGCAACCCUGGCUUUCAGCUUCGCUUUCCAGACUCCUCA
rnacentral:lncRNA from 1 species